rnacentral:rRNA from 1 species
UACGUAGGUGGCGAGCGUUGUCCGGAUUUACUGGGCGUAAAGGGAGCGUAGGCGGACUUUUAAGUGAGAUGUGAAAUACCCGGGCUUAACUUGGGUGCUGCAUUUCAAACUGGAAGUCUAGAGUGCAGGAGAGGAGAAUGGAAUUCCUAGUGUAGCGGUGAAAUGCGUAGAGAUUAGGAAGAACACCAGUGGCGAAGGCGAUUCUCUGGACUGUAACUGACGCUGAGGCUCGAAAAGCGUGGGGAGCAAACAGGAUUAGAUACCCGCGUAGU